rnacentral:lncRNA from 1 species
CAUCUCUUUAGGGUAUUUUCCAUCAGACUUGAUGGUCAACAAAUAUCACAGGGAUGGGUUCCCUGGGCAUAACUCAGGAAGUCCUUAGUUCUAGUCUAUUAACUUUUGUCUUUGUGUCAACAGAAGCUGGGAGUCAACAAUGUCAUAGAACAACUGGUCCUCACCAAGACCCUGGCAGUGGAGCUUGCACCAAACAACAUCCAGGUGAACAGCCUAACACCAGGAAUCAGAGAAGCAGAAUUUGUCAAAGUGAUGAGGUCCAAGGAUGAUGCCUCUUCCUACCCUAUUGAGCAAUGAUCUUGAUUUCAGUGUCACAUGGGAGCCCAGGGAAUGUGGGGAAACUGUCACCAGACUCAUUCCCACAUGCCCUGUUCAUGCAGAAUGGGACAGCCUGAAGACUCAAGUGUUGUGUCCUUUCUGUGCUCCCCAGAUGUCAGCUACAUCACUGGAGAGAACAUUGUGGUGGCCAGCACCACCCCACACUUGGGAGGUAUGUAGGAGGUAUCUGGGUAGAAAACAUGUCAUUAAAGAUAAACCUGUGCUCUAAAUGUGUACACUUUGGCUCAAAACCGUCAC